GCUGGGCAUGGUGGCGCAUGCCUGUAAUCCCAGCAGCUCUGGAGGCUGAGACAGGAGGAUUGUGAGUACAAAGUUAGCCUCAGCAAAAGUGAGGUGCUAAGCAACUCUGUGAGACCCUAUAUCUA
rnacentral:sRNA from 1 species